rnacentral:rRNA from 1 species
CCUACGGGAGGCAGCAGUGAGGAAUAUUGGUCAAUGGACGCAAGCCUGAACCAGCCAUGCCGCGUGCAGGAAGACGGUUCUAUGAGUUGUAAACUGCUUUUGUACGAGGGUAAACGCAGAUACGCGUACCUGUCUGAAAGUACCGUACGAAUAAGGAUCGGCUAACUCCGUGCCAGCAGCCGCGGUAAUACGGAGGAUUCAAGCGUUAUCCGGAUUUAUUGGGUUUAAAGGGUGCGUAGGCGGUCGGAUAAGUUAGAGGUGAAAUCCCGAGGCUCAACUUCGGAAUUGCCUCUGAUACUGUUCGGCUAGAGAGUAGUUGCGGUAGGCGGAAUGUAUGGUGUAGCGGUGAAAUGCUUAGAGAUCAUGCAGAACACCGAUUGCGAAGGCAGCUUGCCAAGCUACUUCUGACGUUGAGGCACGAAAGCGUGGGGAGCAAACAGGAUUAGAUACCCCAGUAGUC